AUAUAGAACGGAAAAUAUUGUGCGUCCAUUAUUUCCUUGUAAAACGAAAGGAACUUUUCGGACGACCUAAUAUAAAGCUAUAAUAAAGUUUGCGGUAAAAUUUUGUAUAACAUUUUCUCUUAUCCUCGUUUAAGAUAGAUUAUGCAAUUUGUGUAAAAAUAUUGAAAAUAUUCCGUAUGUACGUGGACUGAUACAAUUAUCUUCGUUCGCGUAAACGAAAACGACAGAGGAAGAUAAAGAUAAAGAUAAUAUAUUACAUGAAAUUCCGUAAAAGUUAAAUUAUAGCGAUAAUUGGAAUUUAUGUACACAUUUCUUUAGAUACCGAGAAACGAAUGGAGGCCGAAUUCGCAUUCGACAAAACAUGAAUCGCCAGCAAAUCAGCUUUGCAGUUGCGCUAAUCCGUUCCCUUAAUCACGCGACGAUUCAGCUGCAACGAACAAUCAGCGAUAUCAGCGCUGCGUCAUUAUCAUCAGCGAUAACACGCCGCUUUAUACAUCCACUCGAUGUUUUUAACUAACGCUCUUUUAGACCCAGCGAAUAGAACCUUCCGAAUCUAUGAAAACUACUAAAUCGCAGUAUAACGCCAUAAAAGUAUUGCAAAAUCAUCAUCAACGGAACAACUGGAUAUUUAAAAAUUCUACGUUUCUUUGUGAAUAUCUCGAGUCAUACGUCCCAGUCACGCCGAAUAAACUCCUCGAAUUAUCAAAGUAAAUCUUCGCAAACCUCUUCUCUGUUCUUCUCAUCAAAAAUAUUAAAUCGAAACGAAAACUAAACCACCAAAGAAUCAUCGUCUCAGAAGCUAAACGAUACUCAAGAAGUUUUCGACAUUCCCUACAAAUAUCCACGCCGAACUCGCAACUGCAAACUCGAUCCUUCCGAAUUCACCAAAGGCUCAAAAUCUGAACAAAAGUCGAAAGAAUUGAUAAAAAAAAUAGAUCCAAACUCCCAUUCACAUUAGGUGAACUUAAACCUAAUUCGAACUAACAAACAGUUUUCAUAAGUAAGUAAAUAGAUUAUUCGUCGGUGACAUUAUCAGUCGGACACGACAUUGCUAGACAAUGUGCGAUAGAGAGCUGAAAAUAUGAUCGUCGAAAUAAACGCGGGGCUGAUUGGUUGUUUCUGUUAGGUCCAACGCAAUCAUAAAGAUAAGCAUGCAUAUUAGCCAAAAAUGUGACGUAUACAAACAAAGCUAUAUAGAAAUGCAGUACUUUCAGUACCAUUGUGCUGUCCCGCUAAUUAUUUUUCCAGCUGUGUUAGUACAUAUAUCCACAGCUUUUUCACGGACAACGUAUGCCGAUUGGCUGUGGACAAUUGUCUGUCGGUAUGAACUAAGCUUCAGCGAACCCAGCAAAAGCUCGACUCGAUCUGCCGACCACAAUCUCUCGACUCUCCACAACCCAUAACAAUUACCGGGUAUGCGAUCCUGUUUCCACGGCGGCAGCGGGCGACGACGGCGUCUGCGUGGCGUCAGCUGGGCGUGCCAUCUUGCACGUCUGCGUCCGUCUGCCCAUGGUAUCAGGGUGCCACGCUAGCUAAGAAGCUACUUAACUCCCUCUAACGAACCAAGAGACAAGCCAACAAAACCCGAUAAGUAACAGGAGUUUCGCAGUUGGAUGAACACAGGCCGAACAUUCACGACCGAAGAAGCCAAACAAGGAACGUGAAACGACGAAGGAGGUGUUCUCUGUUCAGGAACAAGAAAGGAGGCGACGAACGAAGGGGUAAGCGGACAGAGAAUGAGUCGAGGGGAGUGAUGAUUUGGUGGAACCAAACCGGUGCUGCCAGUGCUGUCGCAACGAGGAGAGUGUCACGCUCUCUCUGCUGUGCGUGGAAGAAACGAGGAGAGGGUCGCGCUUCGAGCAAGGCGACAGGAACGCCAGGAAGUAACACGCUUGCUAUUGUGAGCAACCAGUACCACUUUGGCGGCUCUUUUUGCCUUGAUGCUGGGAUUAUUAGGAGAAACGCGAGUCUGUCUCGUUGUUCGGCAAUAGGAGGUGGCGUUGGAGAGUCUGGAUCGAAGCGAAGGUGGUGGAGGAUUGAAAGUAUACUGGGAAGACUGAAAAGGGAUUUUCUGAAAGGUUUUCGGCAAGUUUUACAAUUACAUUUCGAUUACUGUAAACGAACAGCAUACAGGAUAUUGUGAUUCAAAAUUACUACAGAUUAUCUCCUUUGGACCUUCAAAUAUCAAUAUUUCCAUAUAAAUCUCUCUCGUGAACUCACAUGAAAAUUAUGAUAUCGAAGAGGUUUUAUGAAAUUGCGCUGACCCAGUUUCCCUUGCUUUCCUUGUACACGAUUGGAUUGAACGGCGUCUCGUGGAUUGAUCCUAGUUUAAUGGGGACAGGUACUAUCGUCGCAAGAAUCUAUGCGUGGCAUUUGGGAAACGUGUGCCUCUGGACGCUUGGAACAGGUACCAUACCUGUAGUAUAGUUGCCAUACUUCUUUAACGAAAAGACAGUAAAGAUAGUCAAAAAACUUGUUAACCAAAAGCCAAUAACAUUUUACUUGGCUGACUUAUUUGAAUUGGUAAACUCAGUUUCGAUGGGAAAGUCAAAGUGGAAAAUCGUGGCUAGGCGAAACUAAAAACGUAGCCGGUUCCAUUGGAGACAGUGGCACGGUGUGUCAGUGACCCUGCGGUCGAGGCUGCUGCAGCAGGAAAACGCGAAACCGCCGCGCGGGUAGAUAUCGAUUUGUCUGUGUUCGCUAGGAAAAAAGUUGGCCGGCCUUCUGACGUUCGCCGCUGAUAUUGCCCGCAGUUCACGCUGACGUGCCAUUUACUCACUCGAACGACCUCCUCACGGCCGUUCGUUCUACCUCCUGCCGUUCCACCUCCUCAUCAGCGUUCCACUAUCGUUCGUUUUAUCGAGGAAGCUCAGGAUGAAAGAUAAUAUCGAGACUGAUUAAAUAUAGCAGAACGUUCCAGCAAGAUUUUCGUCCUUUUAAUGGGAAUACAGGAAUACGAGAAGAGAAAUAUUGGAAUCUUUCGACUUAAGACGGAACUUAACUCUUUGGCGUAUGCAUGAGUAUGAUCUUUGUUUGAGAGAACAACGCUUGGAUAGGAAAGGAAAAGGCGUAACUAUAAGACUGUCUUCUUUUCUUAAACGCGGACAAAAAUUGCCCAUUGUGCGAUAAUUACGCUGAUACAUUGGAGUAUGGCAAUGACGUAAUAAUUGUAAAUGCAAUUCUCAAGAGUCUCACCAUUUGUAAACACAAGAUCGAAAAAUAGUAAAGUCUCGUCUCCAUCGAAGUAAACCGAGCAACCUGUUUGUUGCCUUUUCUACGACAUUUCCAACAAGUUAGAAAAAUUUACCGAAUGUCCAGCUGGACGAAUUGUAAAGUACAAAUUAAAUAAAUAAAAAAAGGAUUUCCAACAAACAGCAGCUUAUAGAAACAUUUUGUCCACACUGAAACAACGUAAUCUGCAGCUGGAUUCGCACUGAAGCGACAAGUGAGGAAUUUUUUGUCGCUUUUUGUUGUUACGUGUUUCAGAACAUUUCCAACGAACAGUAACUUACAGAAAUAAUUUCUGUACACUGGUGCAAGUUUUCAAUAAACAUGGAACAGCAAGAAGUUGCUUGAUGUUGCUUCAAUGAAAACGAGGCUUAACACGUUUGCUACUAACGAUAUGUAUGUAUGUAUUUUUAAUGCUUCGAAAUUAGCGUAGAUUUAAUUUUAGUCACUUGGAUUCAAUCGAUUUGAAGUCAUCGCCAAUGAGAACAAGCGUAUGCUGAAACUUGGAAAGGUAUUUCAAGCCAAAUAGCAAGUUUACACCGAUAAAAUGAUUGUAAUUUUAACUUGCUUGAAUGUAAAUAACAAAACGACCAGAUAGUAGAUUGAAUUGUAGUAGAUUAAGUUAUCUGAAUGAAGCUUUAGUCCACGCAAUACAAAUUGGCAUUUAGUACUACAAAAAGUGUUGACCUUGAAGCAGAUUCUUUUUUUAUCAAGUUCUACAUUUCAUUUUUAAAGUAUCGAAUUUCUUUAGUCACAUGUCAGUACUAUCAAAUGACAUGAAAUUUAAUAAGCUUGGACCAAAUUAAUUAAUACCUGUGUAGAUGUUAUAACAAAUACAAUGAUGUGCCAAGACCUUUUCCA